rnacentral:rRNA from 1 species
GAUGAACGCUAGCGGGAGGCCUAACACAUGCAAGCCGAGCGGUAGAGUUUCUUCGUAAACUUGAGAGCGGCGCACGGGUGCGUAACACGUGUGCAACCUACCUUUAUCUGGGGGAUAGCCUUUCGAAAGGAAGAUUAAUACCCCAUAAUAUAAUGAUUGUCAUCAAUUAUUAUUGAAAACUCCGGUGGAUAGAGAUGGGCACGCGCAAGAUUAGAUAGUUGGUGAGGUAACGGCUCACCAAGUCAAUGAUCUUUAGGGGUCCUGAGAGGGAGAUCCCCCACAAUGGUACUGAGACACGGACCAGACUCCUACGGGAGGCAGCAGUGAGGAAUAUUGGGCAAUGGGUGAGAGCCUGAUACAGCCAUCCCGCGUGAAGGAUGACGGUCCUAUGGAUUGUAAACUUCUUUUGUACAGGGAUAAACCUACCCUCGUGAGGGUAGCUGAAGGUACUGUACGAAUAAGCACCGGCUAACUCCGUG